rnacentral:rRNA from 1 species
AGCGUUGUUCGGAAUUACUGGGCGUAAAGUGCAUGUAGGCGAACAUUUAAGUCAGGGGUGAAAUCCCGGGGCUCAACCUCGGAACUGCCUUUGAUACUCGGUGUCUAGAGUGUGGAAGAGGUAAGUGGAAUUCCGAGUGUAGAGGUGAAAUUCGUAGAUAUUCGGAGGAACACCAGUGGCGAAGGCGGCUUACUGGUCCAUUACUGACGCUGAGGUGCGAAAGCGUGGGGAGC